rfam:Zea mays cultivar B73 chromosome 2, whole genome shotgun sequence.
ACUCUAGUAUUGACUCUAAUCCUCAUGUGUUGAGGUGGAUUGAUGUGUAAAUUAGUUUAUGUUACACCUCAAUCCACCUCAAUACAUGUGGAUUUUGGUCAAUACUAGA